GACGAACGCUGGCGGCGUGCUUAACACAUGCAAGUCGAACGAUGAAGCUGGAGCUUGCUCUAACGGAUUAGUGGCGAACGGGUGAGUAACACGUGAGCAAUCUGCCCUUGACUCUGGGAUAACUGCGGGAAACUGUAGCUAAUACCGGAUACUUUCACCGGGGGGCAUCCUCUGGUGAUGAAAGAAUUUCGGUCAAGGAUGAGCUCGCGGCCUAUCAGCUUGUUGGUGAGGUAACGGCUCACCAAGGCGACGACGGGUAACCGGCCUGAGAGGGUGACCGGGCACACUGGGACUGAGACACGGCCCGGACUCCUACGGGAAUCAGCAGUAGGGAAUAUUGCACAAUGGGGGAAACCCUGAUGCAGCAACGCCGCGUGAGUGAUGAAGGCUCUAGGGUCGUAAAGCUCUGUCGUAUGGGAGGAAAAAAAUGACGGUACCAUACAAGAAAGGACCGGCCAACUUCGUGCCAGCCGCCGCUGUAA
rnacentral:rRNA from 1 species